rnacentral:tRNA from 1 species
GCCGAGGUGGCCCAGCCCGGUACGGCGCGAGCUUGGAGAGCUCGUGGUGCUUUGCGCUCGGGAGUUCGAAUCUCCCCCUCGGCG